rnacentral:rRNA from 1 species
AGCGAACGCUGGCGGCAGGCCUAACACAUGCAAGUCGAACGAACCUUUCGGGGUUAGUGGCGGACGGGUGAGUAACACGUGGGAACGUGCCUUUAGGUUCGGUAUAACUCAGGAAAACUUGUGCUAAUACCGAAUGUGCCCUUCGGGGGAAAGAUUAAUCGCCUUUAGAGCGGCCCGCGUCUGAUUAGCUAGUUGGUUGAGGUAAUGGCUCACCAAGGCGACGAUCAGUAGCUGGUCUGAGAGGAUGAUCAGCCACAUUGGGACUGAGACACGGCCCAAACUCCUACGGGAGGCAGCAGUGGGGAAUCUUGCGCAAUGGGCGAAAGCCUGACGCAGCCAUGCCGCGUGAAUGAUGAAGGUCUUAGGAUUGUAAAAUUCUUUCACCGGGGACGAUAAUGACGGUACCCGGAGAAGAAGCCCCGGCUAACUUCGUG